GUCAGGCUGUCUGGGAGAUGGUGAGGAAUGUAUCGGGGCCUCCUACGCGGGACUCAGUAUUUGAGUUGAGAAGUUCCUUAUACAACCAAGCCACAUAAGUGCUCCAUUUCCUGAGCAUCUGUAUUUGACACCUAGAAUCACCACCCAAGAAAGCCAGCAGGUCUGUCUUAUAAUCAGAACAGAUUGCUCAUAGCCUCAGGUACCAAGAUCUUUCUCUGCUCUGCUCGGUCACAUCCCUGGGGAAUACCAGGGAUCUAUUAAAUGUCUACUAGGUAAAAGACGCUGUGCCAGCUGCUGAGGAAGAUAUGAAGAUAAAUAAGAAAGCAUCCUGGUCAGCGGGCUGGCCCACUUCCACCACAGUGUGUGGUGAAUAGAAAGAGCACAGGAUGCAAUGACCAACUGUGAUUCCAGAGGAUCAGUGAUGAAGCAGCUCUGACAGAGAGAGCAUGGACCUAAGGUGGAGAGCGAGGCAGACAUUUUCAGACACGGAUAAAGUAGGGAUUUUUUGUACUUAACUCCACAUAUUUUUGUAUUUU